rnacentral:rRNA from 1 species
UGCCAGCCGCCGCGGUAAUAUAGAGGGUGCGAGCGUUAAUCGGAUUUACUGGGCGUAAAGGGCAUGUAGGUGGUUGCAUAAGUUAGAUGUGAAAGGCCCGGGCUUAACCUGGGGACUGCAUUUAAGACUGUGCGACUAGAGUAUGGUAGAGGGAAGUGGAAUUUCCGGUGUAGCGGUGAAAUGCGUAGAUAUCGGAAGGAACACCAGUGGCGAAAGCGCUUUACCGGGCCAUAACUGACGCUGAGGAACGAAAGCUAGGGUAGCGAAAGGGAUUAGAUA